AUUGAACGCUGGCGGCAGGCUUAACACAUGCAAGUCGAGCGGAGAUGAGGUGCUUGCACCUUAUCUUAGCGGCGGACGGGUGAGUAAUGCUUAGGAAUCUGCGUAUUAGUGGGGGACAACAUUCCGAAAGGAAUGCUAAUACAGCAUACGUCCUACGGGAGAAAGCAGGGGACCUUCGGGCCUUGCGCUAAUAGAUGAGCCUAAGUCGGAUUAGCUAGUUGGUGGGGUAAAGGCCUACCAAGGCGACGAUCUGUAGCGGGUCUGAGAGGAUGAUCCGCCACACUGGGACUGAGACACGGCCCAGACUCCUACGGGAGGCAGCAGUGGGGAAUAUUGGACAAUGGGCGGAAGCUUGAUCCAGCCAUGCCGCGUGUGUGAAGAAGGCCUUUUGGUUGUAAAGCACUUUAAGCGAGGAGGAGGCUACUUAGAUUAAUACUCUAGGAUAGUGGACGUUACUCGCAGAAUAAGCACCGGCUAACUCUGUGCCAGCCGCCGCAGUAACAC
rnacentral:rRNA from 1 species